UAGAAAGUAAAACUCCUUUUGAAGUGUCCCA
rnacentral:piRNA from 1 species